AUGAUCGAGCACCUUGAGGCCAUAGUGAGUGCUGACAGCGUGAGAUCUCACCCUCUCAUCGAUUUGUUCAUACCAACCAUCGACAACGAGCACGGCAUAUGCUACACCCAUCCUGAGAAACUUCCAGGUAUCACACUGAGUGGCCUAAGCAAGCAUUUCUUCCAGCACAACUCCAGGGUGUUCAAAAGGGGCACGUGUAUGCGUCGCAAGAUACAGUCAGAGUGUGGCAUGCACGCGAUGUGGCACAAGACCAGCAAUACCUUGCCGGUGAUGGUCAACAGCCGACAGACGGGCAAUAAAAAGGUUCUGGUGCUGCACACCAAACUUCGACUAGAAGAGGACCGACUGGAUGAUGCACCAGUACCACCUCGGGGACCUGAAGCAAGAGAAGGAGCAGGAGUUGAUCCUCUAAAAGAUUUUCUACCAGACGAACACUAG
rnacentral:rRNA from 1 species